ensembl:lncRNA
CAAACAUGUACUGCGGCAGGUAGCCAGGGCUGCAAGACCAAGUGCUCUCCCACCCCAGCCACUAAGCCACAGCACACAGCCAAGGCAUCAGAAGCACUGCAUAAAGCCAUUUUGGUUCUAGCAGGAUUUCACUGCAUCUCCAGUUACUGUCAUUUUAUUUUGCAAUCAUCCUUUUUUUCUUAUCUCACAGAGUGUUUUCAGUCUUUUAGGACUCCUGCAGGAAUGGACCUGGAUUGAAAACUUGCCCAUGUCAAUUCACAAAAAUCACUUCUUGCUUCUGGAUCAGCUGCUUGGGCCUGUUGUGCUGGACUGAACCAGCCCAUGGGAAGUGGAUAAAUGCUGCUUUGUCUGGAACAAAAGUGGGCUGACUUCAUCUACGUGCAUUUAUUCUACAUUGCAUUAGCGUGUGAGAUUCUGGACCAAGCCUGAGCACGGUUCCAGUGACAAGCUGCCCAGAGCUGCAGGGUGUUCAGCACGUCCACACUGAAUUGCUCCCAUCUCUUCAUUUCAAUCUGCACAAGACCUAGAUCAUGUCCACACACCUUUGGCUGCCUGUGUGAACGCGUGCCUUGCUCUAUGCAGGCUGGAGGAGACACUCAACUCUCUCUCCAUAAGGCAAUAUGAAAAUCUGCAAGAAAAACGUCAUCCAGUCUCAAGAGUGCAGUGAUUCAUCUUGGUACACAAAUCCUAUUCUGUGAACAGGUAACACUGCACGAAGUGUUUCGAUUUGUUCUUCAGGAAAAUGUUUCAUCAUCAUUUUUUAUUUUCUUUCUUCAAAAAAUAAAAUCAUCUGCUUUAAGGAUAUCACCACCUCAGGUUUUCUCCAGCUUUCUCCUUUUUUAUGACUGGUGUGGAUCAUUACUCAAGGUAAUGAGGUUAAAAACUCUUCAGUUUCUGAGCUUUCAGUCUGAAAGUAGUGCUUUUUCUAAGUGGCUGAAGCUCAUGUAAGUCAGAGCCCUAAGUAGCCAUGAAGCCCAAGGAGAACAGCUUCAAUUUUUGCUUUGUCCAAGCAGCAGGCAGCUCUUCAUCCCUCCAGCCAAAAGUGAAGAAGAUAUAGGGCCAUAAACACACACAGAGAGAAGAGGUUCUGUCAUGAGAGAACUGAUGUUAGAGAAGGCAGAGAAAAGAUGAACACAGUAGAAUGUGGAAAACUAAGCAAGAAAAACCAGUACAAUCUGAGUUUUUUAAAAGGGACAGGGGACUUGCUGUGACUGAGGAAGAAACAUGACCCAAAGGGCAGGUUUACAAAGCUUUACUGAAGUUUAAUCAUGGCCAGGAGACCUCUCCUCCAUGAGGAAGGUAAAUGAGAGGAAGAGAGACACCCUGAUUAAAAUCUGCAGCAGUUCAUGUACAAUUUCCAAAAAAUGCUCCGCAGACCCAUCAAUUCUUAUAAUUACACCAGUCCUCCACAAUCCUCCCUGCAUUCCCACGCACAGAGCUCCUGGUGCUGGACAGGCACAUCCCUGGGCUGCCUCGAGGCCUCUGUUUGUGUUCCAAGGGUCCCUGCUCUCCUCCAGAGAUCAAAACAGGGCCCUGGGUGUUUCUGUCACACAGUCAGUUUGUUGCUUCUGAUACAUCCCGAGAAAGUGUUCAGUCUGGUGUUUACAGGUCUGGCAGAGACAAAGCAAUAGGUGCCUGUCUUUCAGGAGAACAGCUUCCAGCAAGCUCUUUCCAUGCAGGGCAGGGCUGAGCAGUUAGCCCUUUCCUCACAGGAGCUUGUAGGUGGCUUGGGCCGGAGAGAAGAAAGACUGGACAGGGAAAGUGAGCAGACAGGAGAACUGCAUGCCAAAAUGAGCAGUGGCUGGAAGGCUCCCCAGAGAGGAAUCUAUAGCAGGGGGGAAAUCCAGUGGAUUUUAAAGGGGACUUGCAGGAUGAGUUGUAGUUUAGUAACUGUUCUGGACAAAGUGGCACAACUCCCUCACUUCUGCUGAAACCAGAUGUUUCUGAUCUUGGUUCAUUAUUGCAAGCGUUUUCACAUGAUUUUUAAAAAUGCAUGAAAGAGGAGAAGGAGUUGAGCCAACUUCCCACUCACCAGACACCAAAUUUCCAGCUUUCUAUAUUUCCAAAAUUGUUCUCCAGUGGGUUUGGGAUUGACCUGACUGCUCAGUGCUAGUUACCAGUGCCUGAAGACUAGCGCUUAUCUGAGGGACUGAUGAUUAAUUGUUUGUAUCUGAAUGUUUCCACCCAUCUGUAUUUACCACUGUACUUCUGACAAUGUCCAGCUUCCCCAACACUAGUCAUCUGGAAAAUCUUUUACAUUUAAUGCUUCAAGUUGAUAACAGGUUCAGAAUGAUCAGCACUACCACACUGGGGUUACUGUGCUAACCAUCAUUGCUUUUGAGCUCUUAACAGCUCUCUGCCAAAUCUAUCUUUUUCCCUUUUCCUAAUUUUUGAUACAAAUCAAGAUCUUUGCUGCAAAGUACCUUUGCUCCUAGAGAAGAAUCAAGAGAUUUUUCUUUUUCAUUCCUUUUUCUCUUCUUUUCUUUUUUUUUUUUUUUUUUUUUUUUUGUAUCCUCAAAAUCAACUUGUUAUGACAUUUCCCACCAGAACUCAUAUCACAAUGGUUCCUACUACAGUUUAAAGAGGAGCUUAUCACAGAAUCACAGAAUCGCAGAACUGUGGGGACUGAAAAGAACCUCUGGAGAUGAUCUAGUCUCACCCCCUGCUAAAGCAGGUUCUCUCCUGUAGGGUGGCACAGGGAAGUGUCCAGGCAGGUUCUGAACAUCUUCAGCGAAGGAGAGUCCACAGUCUCCCUGAGCAGCCUGUUCCAGUGCUCUGUCAUUCUCACAGUAAAGAAGCUUUUCCUUGUGUUUGUAUGGAGCUUUCUGUGUCCCAGUCUUCACUUGUUGCCCUUUGCUCUUUCACAGUGCACCACUGAAAAGAGUCAUUCUUCCUCGACUUCACUCCCACACUUCAGAUAGUUAUAAACAGUGAUGUGAUCUCUUCUCAACCUUCUGUUCUCCAGGCAGAACAGUUCCAGGUGGAAUAACUGCUUAACAUACCUAGGGCAAGGUGGAUGUUCUUGACAGGGAGCUUGAUUGCCCAUGGAACAGCUUACCAGUCUGCUGUAGGUUCUUUAUCUCUUGAAGUCCUUAGAACACAACUGGAUAGUCAUGUCAGUCAUGUUCUAGCCAGGCAUAAAUAGCUUCAUGCAAAAAGCAUUUUACAGGGUCAUGAAACAGUUUAGGUUGGACGGGAAUAUAAAGAUCAUUUACUUUCAACCUCAUUUUGUAGAAACCUACACUGGACUUGUGUGAGAGGUCUUUCAUGGUCGCAUCUUGUUUCAGAUCUAUAUCUCAAACUGGAUUCAGUGCCAGUAAAGGUUUAUAUCAGUAAGCACUGUGGCCCAGAAGAGUGAGCCCAAUAUACCAAAGUCCAAGAUGCAGGUAAGAUCUGUGAAAAGGCUCUCUUUGAUAUCUCUGAGUUUUGGAUGGCAUCUUCAGAGGGUGAAUGCAGUGCAGACAGUAUGCAGUGACCAGGCAUAUCUCCUUUAGCAAUUAUUAGGUGACACUGCCCUCAGACGGUCAAGAUGGAGUAGGCAAAUUCUUCGUAAUUCUUAAAAAAAAAAUAAAAAAAAUAAGGCAGGGUUUAACAAUCAGAGAAAUAUAUUUAAAGUAAUACAGUAUAAAUAAAUUCAUAAUUCC